AGCGAACGCUGGCGGCAGGCCUAAAACAUGCAAGUCGAACGCCGUAGCAAUACGGAGUGGCAGACGGGUGAGUAACACGUGGGAACGUGCCUUUUGGUUCGGAACAACUGAGGGAAACUUCAGCUAAUACCGGAUAAGCCCUUACGGGGAAAGAUUUAUCGCCAAAAGAUCGGCCCGCGUCUGAUUAGCUAGUUGGUGAGGUAACGGCUCACCAAGGCUACGAUCAGUAGCUGGUCNGAGAGGAUGAUCAGCCACACUGGGACUGAGACACGGCCCAGACUCCUACGGGAGGCAGCAGUUAGGAAUCUUGGACAAGUGGGCGCAAGCCUGAUCCAGCCAUGCCG
rnacentral:rRNA from 1 species